GGGACCGUGAGCCCAGUAGGGCUCUGAGGGUAGUGGGCUGGCCUGAGCGAGCGUAGACUGGGUCCCGGAGCACAAGCAGGAGGGGCGGGAGGGGGCGGUAGGACCCCGCUUUGUCGGUGUCUGUGAGCGGGCGAUCGAGCUCGCGCGUCAAACCUCGAUAUCCGGGCUGCAUUGGCGCCCUCCAGCCAGAUUCCUGAUGGUCGGCGGCGGGAGACAAAGGUAAAAGACCAGACCUUUCGGGGAGAGAAACCGAAUGGUGAAAACCUCUUCAUGGGCUUAAUUCUUUCUGCAAACCUGGAGCGAACUCCCGUGGCCGCACUCCAACUGAGGGGCCAGCCCAGAGCGCCCUGGAGCACGUCUGGGAAUGCGCUGUGCGGUAUUACUGUCUUCAUUUCACCGACUGAUGGACCGAAGCCCAGAGAAGGGAAGCGACGUGGCAUGGGUCCUCUGGCCAGUUUGGGAGUCGCAGUAAUGGCAACCUCCUCGGGCACCUGUCUCUAGGGAUCUGCAGGAGGGAGGGACGUGGUGCUGGCCCCUACUGCCGAUGCUCAACGACCGGUUGGGAUAGAGCAGCCCAAAGCCGCAACGGAGGAAAACAAAUCGGUGUUUUCAGCAAGAUGAUCUUACACUGCAGGACUUUGUUUGAAAUAUCAUGUACUUCCAACUUUGGGGGUGAUAGGGAGUGUUAAAAUUUUUCUUCUACUGUAUCUUUACUUGGCAAAUGAAAAAGUGGCAACCCAACUUGAUCCGCAAAAUGUUGGUGGGAAGUCACAGCAUAACCUUGUGUUAUGACUUGUGUUCUCAAAGUCAGGCAGUAUCUGUACCCUAGGGCUUACUAGAUACUGACACAGGAGAGGUGGUGCCUGCAGGGGGUGAAGGAGCAGCGACCUCCCUCAAAGCCCAGGUCUGAGAAAAGGAGAUGCUCAUGGGGUGCCAACCUGCACCUUAAUAGCUUCCAGCUGUGCCUCUGACCCUUUGUUGGUCUCAGGAUAUCCACAUGUCAGCUGGCCACAUUAGAGGUACUCGGACAUGAAGUGGUGAGCGCCCGGGGUCUGUGCGCCUGACGACGAGAGCAGGCUGCUCUGCCGGCUCAGGCUGGAGAUGACUUCCUGCACCGCCACCAUGUUCCGGAUCUGUAAAACAAGAGCCACUGUCAGACCCCAGGCACUUCUCCCUGUGCC